rnacentral:rRNA from 1 species
UACGAAGGGGGCUAGCGUUGCUCGGAAUCACUGGGCGUAAAGGGUGCGUAGGCGGGUCUUUAAGUCAGGGGUGAAAUCCUGGAGCUCAACUCCAGAACUGCCUUUGAUACUGAGGAUCUUGAGUUCGGGAGAGGUGAGUGGAACUGCGAGUGUAGAGGUGAAAUUCGUAGAUAUUCGCAAAGAACACCAGUGGCGAAGGCGGCUCACUGGCCCGAUACUGACGCUGAGGCACGAAAGCGUGGGGA